ACUUAAAUUGAAGAGUUUGAUCAUGGCUCAGAUUGAACGCUGGCGGCAGGCCUAACACAUGCAAGUCGGACGGUAGCACAGAGAGCUUGCUCUCGGGUGACGAGUGGCGGACGGGUGAGUAAUGUCUGGGGAUCUGCCCGAUAGAGGGGGAUAACCACUGGAAACGGUGGCUAAUACCGCAUAACGUCGCAAGACCAAAGAGGGGGACCUUCGGGCCUCUCACUAUCGGAUGAACCCAGAUGGGAUUAGCUAGUAGGCGGGGUAAUGGCCCACCUAGGCGACGAUCCCUAGCUGGUCUGAGAGGAUGACCAGCCACACUGGAACUGAGACACGGUCCAGACUCCUACGGGAGGCAGCAGUGGGGAAUAUUGCACAAUGGGCGCAAGCCUGAUGCAGCCAUGCCGCGUGUAUGAAGAAGGCCUUCGGGUUGUAAAGUACUUUCAGCGGGGAGGAAGGCGACGCGGUUAAUAACC
rnacentral:rRNA from 1 species